AUUGAACGCUGGCGGCGUGCCUAACACAUGCAAGUCGAGCGGUAACAGGUGUAGCAAUACAUGCUGACGAGCGGCGAACGGGUGAGUAAUGCUUCGGAAUCUGCCCAAUGGUGGGGAAUAACCAGCCGAAAGGUUGGCUAAUACCGCAUAAGUCCUACGGGGGAAAGCAGGGGAUCGCAAGACCUUGCGCCGAUGGAUGAGCCGAAGUCGGAUUAGCUAGUUGGUAGGGUAACGGCCUACCAAGGCGACGAUCCGUAGCUGGUCUGAGAGGACGACCAGCCACACUGGGACUGAGACACGGCCCAGACUCCUACGGGAGGCAGCAGUGGGGAAUAUUGGACAAUGGGGGAAACCCUGAUCCAGCGACGCCGCGUGUGUGAAGAAGGCCUGCGGGUUGUAAAGCACUUUUAGUGGGGAUGAAAAGCUCAGGGCUAACACCUCUGGGUCUUGACCUAACCCAAAGAAAAAGCACCGGCUAACUCUGUGCCAGCAGCCGCGGUAAUACAGAGGGUGCGAGCGUUAAUCGGAAUUACUGGGCGUAAAGCGUGCGUAGACGGUUAUGUAAGUCGGGUGUUAAAGCCCCGGGCUCAACCUGGGAAUUGCAUUCGAGACUGCAUACUAGGGUGCGGAAAAAGGAA
rnacentral:rRNA from 1 species